CGUGUGCAGCGGUGCCCUUCCUUCCUUCUGUUAACGUUUCUGAUAUUCAUUUAUUGGUCUCGGGCUCUCAUAUUUUACCUUGAGAAAAUUUUAGUGUGCCCCGCGGGCGUGCGCCCCAAUACAUUAUCAUGGAAUAAUAUAAAAUGACUUUUUUCUCCUUUGUUGGUUUGAGGGAGAGAAGUAAUGAUUUAUAGGGAUAGUUGGGGGCAUUAGUAUAUAAUAGUCAGAGGUGAAAUUUUCGGAUUUGUUUUAGACUAACUUAUGUGAAAGCAUUUGCCAAGGAUGUUUUCAUUAAUCAAGAACGAAAGUUAGGGGAUCAAAGACGAUCAGAUACCGUCUUAGUCUUAACCAUAAAAUAUGCCGACUAGGGAUAGGAGGGGCGCCUUAUCCGCCCUUGGCACCCUAUGAGAAAUCAAAGUCUUUGGGUUUUGGGGGGAGUAUGGUGGCAAGGGUGAAAAUUAAAGGAAAAGACGGAAGGGCACCCCCCGGAGUGGAGCGUGCGGGUCAAUUUGAGUCUACACGGGAAAACUUACCAGGUCCCGACAUAGUGAGGAGUGACAGAUUGAUAGCUCUUUCUUGAUUCUAUGGGUGGUGGGCAUGGCCGUUUUUAGUUGGUGGAGUGAUUUGUUGGGUUAAUUCCGUUAACGAACGAGACCUCAGCAUCCUAAUUAGUAGACUAGUCGCGAGGGGGCACGACUUACUAGAGGGAGGGAGUG
rnacentral:rRNA from 1 species